CACACACACACACACACACCUUAUGGGGUAUCUGACCCAGUCAAGGGUUCACAGGCACCGGCUUCCCUCAUACCAGCUCUGCUCACCUCGAGUUUUGGAGCAUAAGAUACAGGAAGUUACACACGCCCUUGAGGCCUGGACUAAGAACUGCUCAAGAAACGAGGUCACCCCAUGGGCAGCUAGAAUUGCUACAUUUGUUCAUGGCUCCUGUCUCUGUCUGUCUCAGUAGCAAAAAGCUGCUGGGAGCAAAGUGUCUGUAAGGAAGAGACAGGGACAUUUGUUGAGAGAGUGGUGCUCCAGACUCUUCCUAAGGGAAUCUGACUAAAAAGAACUACUUCAAAGAGUCAUUAGUAGAUUAGGAGAAACAGAAUUUUGGGCUCCCUCGGGUAGAGCUGUAUUGGAGCCAGCCUUGAUUUCAACACUUCUAAUAUAUCUCCUGAAAGGUCAGCUGGAGUGAGCCAUACACCAGAACAAACUCCCAACACCAGGGGACACAGACAGCCAGUGCUGGCUUUUUCCUUGGCAGAUCCGCCUAAAUGCACCCCAGUAGAGUGUUAGAGGAUCUGCCAGUCUCGGGGAGCAGCCAUGUGGUACUGGGCAUUCACACUCAGGAGUAUGGUAAGCUGUGCUUUGUGUGUGCGUGAGGAUGUGGCUGGGGACAGAACGCACUGUCUCCUUGAGCUAAGCAAGAACUCUACCCAGAUGCGUCCCAGCCUCAGCUUCUCACAAAGCGGUAAGCUCGUGGAUGCUGGGAAUCGAAGGUGCAGCUUCCCAUACCCCUCGUGAACCAGGGAGACAGCUCAGUGGCUAAGGCCUGAGGAAUGGGCCUCGGAUUCUCAGAACCCGUGUGAAAUUCCAGUUCGUGGCAAGUACAACUGCUUUUCAUUAAAGUGGCCGAGGAGGAGAAAUCCAGCCCAGCCCAGGUCAUGGUCAUAGCCAUGAGCAGCCAUCCUCAGCCAAGCCAGGAAGGAGCAGCUGAGGCCCCAGGAGACCUGUCCAGCUGUCCAGCUCUGGGGUCCCAAGUCACCCAUGUCAGCACCCACGGAAGGCAUCGGUGAAAGAAGAAUUCAAAUGUCCUGAGGACCAGUGGGGACAGGGAAAUGAUGCCCACACCCUCCUGGUAGUUCUGCCUGCUCUCUCUCCUAAUUCAUCUAUCGCACCAUGGCUGGGUUCCAUCCUACCAGUUUCCUGCUCAGGAAGUGGCCGUGGCUUUCCCACAUCUCGAUUGAAUUGCACUUCUGGGCCCAGCGUAAAUGUCCUCUGUGGCUUAGCAAGCUGGACAUCAUCACAUCCUCCUCCCAUGGUUCUCUAACCCAAGCCAUCCCCACGUCCAACGACUCUCCCCACAGAUAUCCUGCCAAGUCCUUCCACAUCAUUGCUCAUGAACUUUAAAUAAUAAUAAAAAAAAACCCAAAAACCAAAACAAAGCAAAACCAACCCCCAGAAUGCCUUUUGUCUCUAUCAGCUCAUUGUGAUUUCUCUCUUACAUUUCACUCACCUGUAAAACUGGACAGAAAUAAUGCCCGCCACGUAGGACUUUUGUAAGGAUAAAAUUAGAAAUGCUUGGAACAGAGCCUGGAACACUGUGGACCUGAGAUCCUGGGGUUGUUACUGUUCUAUUCUCUACCCUUCCAGGCUGAGUCAGUCUUUACCUGCUGCCCUUCACGUGUGUUGUCACACGUUGCCCUCCAGCCUGCCUUUGCCAGCGCUCCUCACUCUGACUCCAACACUCUGUCAGGCACCCACAUGAUGCCAGGCACUGUACUAGGCAGCAGUGGAUAGAUGAGGAGGGGAGGGUAUUCCCUCAGAGGGCUUACAAUUUGGAUGGAGAACCAAUCGAAGAUGGCUACCACAGUGGGGUUUGCAAGUGUUGGUUUUGAAUUACAGAGGCAAGUCAACACUGAAGGGCAAGGAAGAGUUCUUGAAAGAGGUGACAGAUAAAUGGGGACCGGGAGGCUGAGGAAGAGAGAGCAAGGUGGAGGGGGGUGGUUGGGAGAUCAGGAUGAGUCAAGGUCUAGAUAGGAGGACAGGAUUUGGGUGUGCAAACCCCCACAAGACCAAGCAGAUUAGGAAUAGAAGAGGGAGGCUCAGGCAGGUUUGGAAGGACCUCCAUUGGAAAGGCUUUGCACUUUGGACCAAGACAUUGGGCUGAGUAGUUGGGAGUUUUGAGGAGCCAUGCACUCACUUCGACCUGUAAUGUGCGCACCUUGGGUCACUAACUCUGUCACACUGUCAGCCUGACCCGUGGGAGGUGGUGACCCUGGGCCUUUUCACAUGCCUCUUUCUGAGGGGUAGAAGGCAAACGAGAGAUAACUACCUGUCUGAUGUCCUGGGAGGGUAGACACUGCAUAUAUCGAAGGAGAUGAGGACAGAGCAGGAGGGGCUUUGAAGUGUCAGAAGAGUUCUCUGCACCCUACCAAGGGUGGGAACCUAGCCCUCUUCCAGCCACACACAGCGGGAAUGAAAUACUCACCCCGAACCUUGCUUUGUAGAGAAAUGAUGGUGUGCCCUGUCUCCUACCUACAACACUAGAACUGCCUUGCCAAAGAGGAUCCCGGGGCAGGGAGAGAAAGGCAGGUCCCAUGGGAGCUCUGGAAGCUGGCAAAGGGCUAAGCAGAGAGGAGAUGUGGGGUCCUCAGCAGCGCCCUCGCUCCAUCCACUCACACCUCACCUCUCUCUAAUGUGUGAGAAGCUCUGUUGGCAGCCUGGGAGAGCCAGCCCUGGGACGCACACACUGAAUCAUACUAUAGACAGUGAAGUAGUUUAGAAGGUUUCAGGCCCCCUGCCCGGUCCAGAGAGCAUCUCUCCAGGGAAACUGUCCUCAAGUCUGACUGUAGCCUCUCCUUUCUCUAACAUCACACUUCCAGACAGUACCAUUCACGAAGUGUAUGACUUUGGUGUCUUCUCAGGCAUCCUGAGACCUUAAAGCCCCUCACAGCCUCACAGUGCUAAACUCCUCAAAGGCAGAGUCAGGUUGCUGCCUCUCGUGCAUCCUUCAUGGCCGCCAGCACAUCUUUCCCUAGGCUUGGAUUGCUGUGAUGUGUGACGAGGGCAUGUCAGCCUGUAAGAUAAGACACAGCUGAUUCUUAGCCAUGGAAGGUGGGAAAGGAAUGGCCUCUCUUCAUGUAUUCUCUCUGAUUCACCAGCCAAGGGCUUAGUCCAGGAACGGGCCACGUGGCCAUCAGACGCAAAGACUGCAGCAUCUGGAUAGCAAGUGCCACAAUCCCAGCAGACCAUGCAAGUUCCAGGACAGGAGGGGAGGCCAGCCACUGAGCAGCAAGAACUGCAAAUAGAUCACAGCUUCUAGAGCUUGACAAAAGGGUCUGGACAAGGCGUCCCUCCAACCAGCUGCCCUCCAGCUCUCUCCAGCCUCCUGUACAGUGGGUGUGCCCAGAGAUGGAAGCUGGAAAUCGGGCCACCAUCUGGAGAAGAUGAUGGGCCUGGAAGACAAUGUCACCAAAAGGAUUUCUCCCUGAGGCAAUCAGGGCAUGGCCUCAUCAGCACUUUGAAAUAAGCAUCCUGGAUAUUUCCAGAUGUGGAACCAGAUGUGGGAAAAUGGCAUUGCCUGAUGGACAAGCCCAGGGUCCAUCCUGGCUCUCCCAGCUGGCAGGGUCUUGUCUGUAUCUCUCUGUUGGUCUCCUUGUCUGCACACCUCUCUGGCUACACAGUUCCAGGCUGCAGGACUCUUGAUGGUGGCUAAAUGCUUUCUUAUGCCUGGUUUUGAUCCACCCCACAAUCAGUGUAUACUCUUAUUUAAUAGAUGUGGGAAUGAACAGGUCACCAAUCCCCACAUCAAAUAUCUGGAGUGGGUGUUUGUGUGGGUUUGUAUGUGUGUGUGCAGUCACACAUGUACAAGGCCUGAGAGCAGAAGGCAAGUCAGAUCCCUGGCCUUGCUAUACAGGCAGCCCAGGGAGGCGGGCCAGGGUAUGGAGGAAGGACCCUGGACCUCUAACAAACCCAGAUAUUAGGCAGUGGGACUCCAGUGUUGUAACCAUGCAGACUACUCUAUUCCAGUGGUUCUUAACCGUCCCAAUGCUGCAAUCUUUUGGUACAGUUCCUCAGGUUGCAGUGACAGCCCCCAAUCAUAAAAGCAUUUUUGUUUCUCUUCAUCACUGUGAUUUUACUACAGUUAUGAACCAUAAUGUAAACAUCCGAUACGUGACCCCUGAAAGGGUCAUUGCCCCCAAAGGGGUCACAACCCACAGGUUGAGAAUCAACGCUCUAUUCCAUUCCAACCCCCCUGCCCCCCACUUCUGCCAAAGCUACCCUGGUCAACCCUGCAUUGAGACGCAGAGUGAAGAGGCCUCUUUCCUAGGCUGAGUGCAAAAGAGCAAUGGAGAGGUAUUCCAUCCUCCUCAGGGGCCGCCUGGGGAAAGCAGGUAAAAUAGCAUCAAAAAAAAAAAAAAAAAAAA
rnacentral:sRNA from 1 species